CACUAACAGAACUACCUCUUCUAAAAAUAACAGAACAGUAAAUCACCAGUUAUGUAACGCAGCUGGAGCCAUAGGACCCCUCUUUUUGCAGGAAUAGCAAUAGGAUACUGACCAUAACGUGUUUUUUUUAAACCCUUAGGAUGAGUUUACACUGCAUAAAAAAAACAUGGGUUUACUUUUAUAGAAUUCGGAUUUGUUGUGGAAACUGCUGCUUCUCUAUUUUGCGGGGUGGGCGGAUUUGGACUUUCUCUCCCCCCCCCCCCCAACCGGUGAACUCUUGAAGUCGAAGAGCAAAUGUAAACGUCAAACCCCAAACAUGGGGUGGAACCAGCUUGGCUCUGCCUUCCUGAGCUGUCAAAGUGCAACUGAGGAAGCUGGACUCAUUUCAGCGAGGCGGGGUGAUUUCCUCGCCACAGAAAAGUCGGAGAGCAGAAAGUCAGAGCUGCUGCUUCCGACUCGCUGGAGUGGUGAUGCUGGGAGAUCUCCCUUGGAAAGACCCCCACCGAGGAAAGGGACAUGAUGGCUUGAGGCUGCUGCUUCGGACUGGCUGGAGCGGCGAUGCGGCGAGAUCUCCCUUGGAGAGACCCCCGCCGAGGAAAGGCGCCUGACGGCUCCAGGUUGUCUCCAGUGUAGCAGCUCCUGUUGUCUUCAGCACCUUUCUCUGCAUAGGUCAUGGUUGGGGAAAUAACCUAUGCAGAUUUAAACAUCCAGGAAACCCCUUCAUCUUUGAGCCCAUCCGUGCCACAUCCAUCUGAGAACUCCGGACAGAGCAGUAAUCAUGUGUGAAGAAGGAAAGGCUAACAGUGGGGAUCCUACUGCUAAUGAGAAGAGUGACUGCAAUGGGAACAGUAAAAAUGAACCAAAGGCUUCUGAAAAUACAGAACUGAUGAUUGAGCCCUUACAAGGGGCAGAACCACGUGGUUGUGGAUGGAGAGCAAACCUGAGGGAGAUGCCAUUUUGGAUACGUGUUACAAUAGUCGGUGCCAUCGCUUCUGUUGUCUGUGUCAUCACUGCUUUUGUUGUCUUGGAUGCCACUGGUGAUACCAAAAAUCCGUCGGAGGCAACGCCGUACACAAAGG